UACGUAGGUGGCGAGCGUUGUCCGGAUUUAUUGGGUUUAAAGGGUGCGUAGGCGGCUUUUUAAGUCAGUGCUGAAAUAUCCCGGCUUAACCGGGAGGGUGGCAUUGAUACUGGAGAGCUUGAGUGAAGAUGAGGUAGGCGGAAUUGACGGUGUAGCGGUGAAAUGCAUAGAUAUCGUCAAGAACACCGAUAGCGAAGGCAGCUUACUAAGUUUUAACUGACGCUGAUGCACGAAAGUGUGGGGAUCAAACAGG
rnacentral:misc_RNA from 1 species